GACGAACGCUGGCGGCGUGCUUAACACAUGCAAGUCGAACGGAAAGGCCCUGCUUUUGUGGGGUGCUCGAGUGGCGAACGGGUGAGUAACACGUGAGUAACCUGCCCUUGACUUUGGGAUAACUUCAGGAAACUGGGGCUAAUACCGGAUAGGAGCUCCUGCUGCAUGGUGGGGGUUGGAAAGUUUCGGCGGUUGGGGAUGGACUCGCGGCUUAUCAGCUUGUUGGUGGGGUAGUGGCUUACCAAGGCUUUGACGGGUAGCCGGCCUGAGAGGGUGACCGGCCACAUUGGGACUGAGAUACGGCCCAGACUCCUACGGGAGGCAGCAGUGGGGAAUAUUGCACAAUGGGCGGAAGCCUGAUGCAGCAACGCCGCGUGCGGGAUGACGGCCUUCGGGUUGUAAACCGCUUUCGCCUGUGACGAAGCGUGAGUGACGGUAAUGGGUAAAGAAGCACCGGCUAACUACGCGCCAGCGGCCGCGGUGAUACGUAGGGUGCGAGCGUUGUCCGGAUUUAUUGGGCGUAAAGGGCUCGUAGGUGGUUGAUCGCGUCGGAAGUGUAAUCUUGGGGCUUAACCCUGAGCGUGCUUUCGAUACGGGUUGACUUGAGGAAGGUAGGGGAGAAUGGAAUUCCUGGUGGAGCGGUGGAAUGCGCAGAUAUCAGGAGGAACACCAGUGGCGAAGGCGGUUCUCUGGGCCUUUCCUGACGCUGAGGAGCGAAAGCGUGGGGAGCGAACAGGCUUAGAUACCCUGGUAGUCCACGCUGUAAACGGUGGGUACUAGGUGUGGGGUCCAUUCCACGGGUUCCGUGCCGUAGCUAACGCUUUAAGUACCCCGCCUGGGGAGUACGGCCGCAAGGCUAAAACUCAAAGGAAUUGACGGGGCCCCGCACAAGCGGCGGAGCAUGCGGAUUAAUUCGAUGCAACGCGUAGAACCUUACCUGGGUUUGACAUGGAUCGGGAGCGCUCAGAGAUGGGUGUGCCUCUUUUGGGGUCGGUUCACAGGUGGUGCAUGGCUGUCGUCAACUCGUGUCGUGAGAUGUUGGGUUAAGUCCCGCAACGAGCGCAACCCUUGUUCACUGUUGCCAGCACGUUAUGGUGGGGACUCAGUGGAGACCGCCGGGGUCAACUCGGAGGAAGGUGGGGAUGACGUCAAGUCAUCAUGCCCCUUAUGUCCAGGGCUUCACGCAUGCUACAAUGGCUGGUACAGAGAGUGGCGAGCCUGUGAGGGUGAGCGAAUCUCGGAAAGCCGGUCUCAGUUCGGAUUGGGGUCUGCAACUCGACCUCAUGAAGUCGGAGUCGCUAGUAAUCGCAGAUCAGCAACGCUGCGGUGAAUACGUUCCCGGG
rnacentral:rRNA from 1 species